rnacentral:rRNA from 1 species
UAGGGAAUCUUCCACAAUGGACGCAAGUCUGAUGGAGCAACGCCGCGUGAGUGAGGAAGGUCUUCGGAUCGUAAAGCUCUGUUGUUGGUGAAGAAGGAUAGAGGCAGUAACUGGUCUUUAUUUGACGGUAAUCAACCAGAAAGUCACGGCUAACUACGUGCCAGCAGCCGCGGUAAUACGUAGGUGGCAAGCGUUGUCCGGAUUUAUUGGGCGUAAAGCGAGCGCAGGCGGAAUGAUAAGUCUGAUGUGAAAGCCCACGGCUCAACCGUGGAACUGCAUCGGAAACUGUCAUUCUUGAGUGCAGAAGAGGAGAGUGGAACUCCAUGUGUAGCGGUGGAAUGCGUAGAUAUAUGGAAGAACACCAGUGGCGAAGGCGGCUCUCUGGUCUGCAACUGACGCUGAGGCUCGAAAGCAUGGGUAGCGAACAGGAUUAGAUACCCUGGUAGUCCAUGCCGUAAACGAU